AUGAUGACGGUGGCAUUAUGGUGCGUACAAAUGAAGCCCAGUGAACACCCUUCAAUGAAUAAAGUAGUGGAGAUGCUCAAAGGAGACAUUGAGAACCUUCAAAUGCCUCGAAGGCCUUCCUUAUAUCCACAACAAACUCCUGCAGAUGAAGUUGGUGGGGACAAUCCAAGUCCCUGUGCAUCAAGUGGUUCAAAAUUUGAAGAGAUUAGUUUGGUUGCAAUGCAAAUUAAGUGUUUUAAUAUUAGUCACGAUGUGGCUGUAUGUAAGGGAAAUUUAG
rnacentral:lncRNA from 1 species